AGUUGCCGGGAUGAGCUGUGGAGCCCGCGGAGGACGGGCUGCGGUUGCAGGAGGCUGUAAGAACAGCUUGGGUGUCUUUUCUGGGAAGUCGAGCGCACGCUCCCUGCUUCUUCUUUCUCUCUGGUCUUUUGGAGUUCAGCUUAAAUCAGAUUCUGAAAACAGCAUCCUGCUGCAGAAGAGUCAGUGGCCUUAGAAACAGACUCCUACUAUAAAAAAAAUCCUACAGGAGCCAGAUGCCCCCGACCCUGACAAAGAUUGAUCAAGUGGCUGGCCGUAUCACCUUUCACUUCGCUUUGGCAAGGGGGGAAGCGCAGAAUGAUGGAAGGUUUUCAGGUGGAGUUGUGUUUAAGUUUGGUUUUUUUUAAGUGCUGCAGAUGGGAGUCAUUCUGCACAAGGCAGUGCCAGCACAGAGACAGAACGCGAGGACUGUGGCUGCAGAGGAGCAGUCAUUCCUGAAUGCACCGUCCUACAGAUUUAUGCUUUGUGAGAGGUCGGAUUAGAUCACCGCUGUGGAAAGGAAAUCUAUUAAAUGUAUCUCCUGGAGGUAUGGGAGGCUCUGUGACAAAUCUCUCGGGGCAGGGUGAAUAUUUGCCCAGAGUGCUGCUGGCCUUUGCAGAACCGCUGUGUAAGCCGCUCCUCAGGUCUCAGCUGGAGCUGAGGACCGUACCCGUUCGUCGCCGGGUCUGCCUGCUUCCGACCUGCCCGUUAUAACUUAAAAUGCUGACUCACUAGCAUGGUGUGCCAACCAAAUGUUGCUGCUGGAAUCAACCACUGGAAGAGCCUGAGGAGAUACAACCCCACCAUGGCAUAGGUUUUAAGUGGGCCUCUUUGGUGAUUCCAAGUUUCUCUUCUGAUGGUUUACUUGGUCCCUUAUUUCUUGUCAAAUUAGCCCCAAAGGUCUGUACAAAUUUAGGCAGAUGUCAAGUUGAACAGUUGUCGUGGUGAAAAUGCCAUGGAAACCUAGUUUAGAAAGUUCAGCAACAUUUUAUCAUCCUUGGAAAGACUUUCAACCUUUCAAGCUUUUCAACCUUUGCACACCUUUUAACCAUUUGAAAAGUUGUCCAACAAUUUACAAUGCACAAAGUUAUAAUCAGUUGUCAGAAAUAAGUAUCUGACAUGUAUUCUUCAGGGCUUAUUUUUGUGCUGAAGAAAAAAGGAUGGAAUAUUACAAACCUGUUUUAGCGUUGCUGAAUGGUAUCCCUGCUCAUACAUGGAUUUUCUUCCAGGCAAAACCAGCUUGAGGGUUCAUGCAAUACUAGAUGCAUCAUGAGGAUUCUGCAUCAUCAGAGUGUUUAUUCUGAAUAUUGCAUAGAUACACAGCUGGUUUGUUCCCCUGUUGAGGUACCCCUGUUUUACUUUCCUUGGCAGGCAACUUAAACAUUGAUGUAUUGCAGCUGAGCAGUGGUCAUGGGAUUCAAAAGUAACAUGGAAAUGCAGCCUUAAAACAAGGUCCCCUCCCUGGUGGCAGUGAGUUAUGGACAUGGAUUCAGGUGUAUUUUGAUGGUGUCUUCUAGACUUCUUGACUUGUUUUACAUCUUGUAUAAUUGGAAAGAAGCUUUUGUGUUUGUUUUAGGAGGAAAUAAAUUUAUUUCGGAUCUGAUUAUCA